rfam:Schistosoma mansoni, Puerto Rico, WGS project CABG01000000 data, contig: 0032
AUCCGGCUGACGAGUCAUAAAUAGAACGAAAUACACAUCCUGGAU